CAGACUCUGUUCGCAUCCACCACUCGAUUGCCUAAGACUAUCGCCGGCAACACAGUGGUGCUUCCCCCACAUAACAGGCAGCUCCCCGACCUUUCCUUUUAGCCACAGAUGAAAGACGCGUGUGUGCGUGCGCCUGGCUAGUGCACGCACUGCUCGUGGAAAACCAGGGUGCAUUCCGGAGCCAGGCGACGUGACGAUUGCAGAAAGGUGCACGAGGCAGAACCCAUUAGCGAGCUGCGUGUUGCUCAAACCCGAGGCCCUGGCGGGCAGAGUGCGCCGUGCGCCGGAACGCACUGGGCUGUGGCGGUGACUAAUAAUGCAGCCGGGGAUCUGCUCACAUCUCCCCCCGGGUGUGCCUAUUUUCAUAAGCUAAUAACUCAAGCAUGAACAUUGUUUCAGGCUGAGAACUGGCGACAAGAAAAUGAGGAGCCAGGAGGGGAAGGAGCCACAGAGGUCUGCAGCCUCCCGCAUCUCAAGGAGACUCUGGCUGGUCAGGACACAGGUGCCCAUUAUCAUCCCACGGGACAGAACAUAGAAUGAAUGCAAGUAGACGGCGUGCGCUCUGGUGCCCGGCUUCCUGCUCUCAGCACAAUGUUCAAGGUCACCUGGUUUGUGACCCUUUCCUUCCUGCACAGAGCUGGUCCACGGUGUGGCCUCCUGUCCAUGAGCACCUGGGCUAAUUUCAAGCUUUGGCCAUGAUGAGUACAACGAAGGAGAGCGGUUGACUUUGGAUAGAUUUUCUUUUGUGCUCUGAAUGAACCUUCGCCUGAACUGAGUGAAAGCCGUCCUUCACCCGUGCUUAGCCACAAAUGCCGGAGGCUGCCCUACCUGUCCAGCCAGGGAAGAUGGGUCCCUUCCUCCUGAUCCAAGGAAGAAGGCCCUCAGGUCCGGCAUCCCGGCAGCAGGAGGCCACGGCCUCACCCGCAGCAGCCCCGCCUGCCACUCCGGGAUGCUGGUGCUCAGUCCAGCAGGUCCAGCAGGAUAUCUUCAGACCAGAGGCCCCUGGCAUGAGGUGACGCUGCCACUGAACACAGAUGUAGCACCACACUGGGGCAGCUGAGGCUGGGCAGGACCUCCCCCAUGGACACUGGCCCCCAGACACUGGCCAAGCAGGGUCACUGGCCGGGAGGAGACAGAUGGCGUCCACCUGGGUACCGACCAGGAUCCUAGGAUUCCCGGGAUCCCAGGGGCUGUUCCUGGCAGACGCAGGCAGUUCAUGUCGUCUUGUUCCGUAAGGGUGGUGCCCAGGCCAUGGGGUGUGUGACCGACCGGUUUGCAGAGUGGCAGACGUUGGACUGUGCACGGUCUCUGGCCGACACGAGGGCUGCGGGUUGAAGGCCUCCUGGGCACACGCAGCUGAGGCCCUCAUGACAGCCUUCGAGGGUGAGCUCCCAGAGCCCGGGUCCCAGGGCCAGGCCGGGCAGGCGCUGGGCACACGCAGCUGAGGCCUUCAUGACAGCCUGCGAGGGUGAGCUCCCAGAGCCCGGGCCCCAGGGCCAGGCCGGGCAGGCGCUGGGCACACGCAGCUGAGGCCUUCAUGACAGCCUGCGAGGGUGAGCUCCCAGAGCCCGGUCCCCAGGGACAGGCCGGGCAGGCGCCCUGUGGUCCUGAUAGACCCUGUUGGACUGUUUCACACGCAGCUCGGACUGACGCAGAGGAAUGGCUGUCCCCAAGCCCCUUCUGGAAUCCAGUACCUGAGCUCGUGGGGACAGUGUGAACGGCCGGUGGUGGCAGGUGCCCUGCCCUGACUGUGCUGCUCUUGUGGUCUCCGCAGCGGCCAGGUGCCACCAGUGUUCCCGCCGCUCGACCCGCCAGCUCGCGGCCUUCACCCCCUUUUCCGCUGGUUUCUAGAAGCCUUGGUAAAUGCUGGGGACACGGGCAGCCUGUCUGAGAGAUGACUCUGGAGGACUGUUCUCCAGCGGGCACUUGCUCCGUGUUUGCUUUGGCAGGUUCGGCCUACGUCUGACACAGUCGUUUUCGUCAAUAUUUCCCUCCUUGGUUUCGUGGUGUUUAUGAAUAUAAAGACGUUCCCCCUUCUGAUAUGAAAAGAAGUUAUUUUCUUUCAGUGCUUUUAUUUUUUUUUACAUUUAUAUAUGUGAUCUAUGUAGACUUUAUUUAGCUAUAGAAUGUGCGGUUUGGACUGAAAUCUCUUUCUUUUUGGAUGGUUGUCCCAUUGC